UCGAUUAGUUUGAUCAUGGCUCAGAGCGAACGCUGGCGGCAGGCCUAAUACAUGCAAGUCGAACGGACCCUUCGGGGUUAGUGGCGGACGGGUGAGUAACACGUGGGAACGUGCCCUUUGGUUCGGAACAACUCAGGGAAACUUGAGCUAAUACCGGAUGUGCCCUUCGGGGGAAAGAUUUAUCGCCAUUGGAGCGGCCCGCGUCUGAUUAGCUAGUUGGUGGGGUAAAGGCCUACCAAGGCGACGAUCAGUAGCUGGUCUGAGAGGAUGAUCAGCCACACUGGGACUGAGACACGGCCCAGACUCCUACGGGAGGCAGCAGUAGGGAAUCUUGCGCAAUGGGCGAAAGCCUGACGCAGCCAUGCCGCGUGAAUGAUGAAGGUCUUAGGAUUGUAAAAUUCUUUCAGCGGGGACGAUAAUGACGGUACCCGCAGAAGAAGCCCUGGCUAACUUCGUGCCAGCAGCCGCGGUAAUACGAAGGGGGCUAGCGUUGCUCGGAAUUACUGGGCGUAAAGGGCGCGUAGGCGGAUGUUUAAGUCAGAGGUGAAAGCCCAGGGCUCAACCUUGGAACUGCCUUUGAUACUGGACAUCUUGAGUACGGGAGAGGUGAGUGGAACUCCGAGUGUAGAGGUGAAAUUCGUAGAUAUUCGGAAGAACACCAGUGGCGAAGG
rnacentral:rRNA from 1 species